UAGAGGUUUAGAGGCUUCAUUGAGUUCAGUAAUUAGGCGUGAGUAGUUAUCUCUGGUCUUUUCUCCAUCUUUGGGACUUUGUUUCUGCCUGUGUUGAUAUCAUGUGCUGGGUGGGACUCUGGGCUGGGUUGGGAUCCUGCCUGGCAAACCCAAGGCCAUGGCCACAGCAGAGGCACCAUCCCACAGCCUGUGCUCCACUCCAACUCUGGCAGGAAAAAGGUGGCAACAGCAUCUGGCUGGGAUGGUGCCCACCUUUGUGGUUCCACUGUUGUAAAAUCAAAUUGAAGCUGUGUGUAAGUCAAUAAAUGUUAAAAAGCCGAGUAUUUCUAGAAAUAAGGCUUGGGAGAAGUGUCUGUGACACAGAAAAAAAAAGCUGUAACAGCAUCUAAAAUUAUUGGAAGGUUUGCUUUUUCUCUUGCCAUAUCUCCUUCACCUGCUACUUCAAAGCCUUGGUGGCUUCCUUUGAUGUGGCCACCCAGGAUGGACUUAGCAGCACAAAGGGGACCAAAGCCUGAGGCUGCCCCUGCCCAUCAGGAUAUUCCCUGGAGAGGUGGGUGUGAAGCAUCCCAGGGAGCUUCAGCUCACUGCCACCACAUCCAGCUGCCUGACACUGCUGCUGAUCCCUGUUGCCAUCCCUGCAGGUAUUUAAAAGCUGUGUAGAUGUGAUGCUGAGGGACAUGAUUGAGUGGUAGGUUUGGCAGUACUGGGUUAACAGUUGGACUGGAUGAUCUUAAAGAUCUUUUCUAGCCCUAAUUAUUCCAUGGUUCUGUAAUCACCCUACCAGAGCUGGUUCAUGCAAAGAUGGUUCAUGGUCAACACACCAGUUUGUUCCCCAGGAUAUUUGCCAAGCACCUAAAGCUCCCACAGCCGUGGUGUUGACUCCAGUGGGCUGCUGGGACCUGCCUCCCUCUUCCAGUGAGGACCAACCCAGGCUGCAGAUAUUCAAUGUUGAAACGCGAGCUGCUAGUGUACCUGGGGGAAUGGAAACAAGAGGAAGGGAAACAUUGGAAUAAAUUUAAAGAAGAAAUCUGUUCAGUGAAAUAAAAAAUGAAUUGUUUUUUGCAGUACCUGCAAGCAGAGGAGCUGAAGACCCAUAGUGAAGGUGAUUGUGUGAGUAGCUACAAUCUGGAGCAGUCCUGAGGAGUGCACGGUGCUCACGGGUGAAAAACAACAUGAAGCAAAUGAAGAUGGAAAUCGCUGAUCUCCAAGAUGCUCUGGACCUUACCGCCUGGAUUAUGUGUCCUUCAGGAUUAGAUUUAUCAGCAGCUCAUUCGGGGAGAGCUCUGUGCCGGCGUCCGAGCGGCUUUUCCACCUGCGAGCAGGACUCUGGGGCUGAGCCUGUUGGGUUGGCUCUGCUUGUGAAACGCCUGAGCUUUUCUUCUUCAUCCCAGAUGAAAAUGCUGGAUGUUGCAUUUCUUCUUGAUUUUGUGAGUCAAGUUCAGUUUGGACAAAAAGAAGUGUGCAGUUCCACUCUGGUGAGAAGAGCUCUCAUUUCCUCAGAUCAGGAGAGGAAAACACAUUCUCUGCUCUUGCAACUCCAAAUCAUGUUUUGAGUGAAUUAGUCAUCGGCCUGAACCAGCUGAACACAGCACAGGAGUGGUCAGACACUGGAAUGGUGGAGUCACUAUCCCUGGGUCAUUUAACCAAUGGGAUUUGUGUCCACUGGCUGACCUUCAAAAUCUCCAACAUGGGAGGACACAGAUUUUAUUACAUCUCUUCCACUACCAAGUUCCUCAUCCUCCUCAGCAGGACAUUGGCUAUAUGGACCUUCUACGUUUUGUUCUGACAUUGAUGCCUUUUCAGCCUUCUUAAAACUUGGAAAAAAAGAGACUCAAGCUGUUGGGUUGGAAGAAGGUGGAGUCUGCAGCAGGAGUGGGACGUGGAGAACUCCCUUUGCAAGCCUCUGUGAUGACCCAGCACCUCCCACCCCACCAGCCAGAGGCACUGGUGACCACGUCCUGGCCCUGUCCUUCAUCUGGUGAGGAUGGACCUGUGGGUCUGAGCCCUGGUGGCCAGAGCCCAGACCAUCCAGGAAGGUGUUGCCCUCAGCUCCAGCACCCGGGACCAUCGCUCAGCACCUGCUCCCACCUCAGACCUGCACAGCACAAGGGAAGACAUCAUGAAAAGUCACUUUAUUGGAUUUCAAGUGCAGGGCUCGGGAGAAUGCAGAGUGCAGCAGAAAACCGACACAUAAAGGAGUGAUAGAAAUUCUACACCAGCAUUUCCAUCUGUUGCUGAUUCUCUGUGAAGAUACUGCUUCCAUCAGCAUGUCUUAAUAUACUAAACUUGUCCCCUAAGCCCGUCCUCUGAAGCUUGGUGCUACGGUAGGUAAACAAAAGUGACUUUACAUUGGCGGGACUACAAGCCCAGACAUAGCUAAAAGAAAAAGAGAAGAAAGAACAAAAAUAAAAAAUCAGCUGUUAUUAGCAGUUGUGAGUAAGGAACACCUGGUUCACACCAACCUCCUCAUGCCCCAGCACCCUCUGCCUGGGGGGGCAUGGACAGGCUCUCCCCAACAAAACGCUCCCCAAGGGCUCCCAAGAUGCCAGAGGAGGUUCUGAGGGGGCUUCUGUGCCCAGAGCAGCCCAACCCCUGUGGCAUAUUUCCCAGCAGGGAUACCACGGUCACUCCUGAUCCUAGCAGGCAUCCAAAUCCCACCAACCACUGCUCCCUGCCCAGACCUGGCACCUGGGCAGGAAACCUCCAUUUCCACAGUUGUACUUCAUGGUACCAACAAGACCGAGCAAGCCAAGGACUCAAAGACCAAAGCCAAGCACCCUACCCCUGCUCUCACCUCUGGAGACCAAGCACCACCAAAAAGCAAGAGGUUAUUACCCCUGACCAGCCAUCUCCUCAUUUUUUAACAGCUGAAGCCUGAGACACCAACAAUUACUGCUUGCUUUUUUUUUUUUUUUUUUACUUAGUUAACUCUUUGGUAGAAACAUAAUUUAGACAGACUUUAAUUUUAGUGUUGUUUAAUUUUUGCCAUAAUGAUAUUUCUCAUUAAUGUAUGUACAACAGAUAUUAAUAAAUUUGUUCGUGUAGUGAAGUGAACUUCAAUUUCUCAGUUCAUUAAUUUCCACAAUAUUAAUUUGCUUCAGAUUCUCUGUUGCAGCUUUAUGGUUUGGAAGAGCUGGGUACACACACGUGUCAUACGUUGCACAACCUCCUCCCAGCAGCAUGGGCUGCACCACCAGGA